rnacentral:rRNA from 1 species
UACAGGGGGCCCGAGCGUUAAUCGGAAUCACUGGGCUUAAAGGGUGCGUAGGCGGCUUAUUAAGUCAGGGGUGAAAGACGGUGGCUCAACCAUCGCAGUGCCCUUGAUACUGAUGAGCUUGAAUACACUUGAGGUAGGCGGAAUGUGACAAGUAGCGGUGAAAUGCAUAGAUAUGUCACAGAACACCAAUUGCGAAGGCAGCUUACUAAGGUGCAAUUGACGCUGAGGCACGAAAGCGUGGGGAUCAAACAGG